rnacentral:rRNA from 1 species
UGGGGAAUAUUGGACAAUGGGCGCAAGCCUGAUCCAGCAAUGCCGCGUGUGUGAAGAAGGCCUUCGGGUUGUAAAGCACUUAAGCAGGGAAAGAAAAAACUCGGUCUAAUACAUCGAGUCUUGACGGUACCUGAAGAAUAAGCACCGGCUAACUCUGUGCAGCAGCCGCGGUAAUACAGAGGGUGCUAGCGUUAAUCGGAUUUACUGGGCGUAAAGCGUGUGUAGGUGGUUGUUCAAGUCAGUUGUGAAAUCCCUGGGCUUAACCUGGGAACUGCUUCUGAGACUGAACGACUAGAGUACGGUAGAGGGUGGUGGAAUUUCCGGUGUAGCGGUGAAAUGCGUAGAUAUCGGAAGGAACAUCAAUGGCGAAGGCAGCCACCUGGGGCCUGUACUGACACUGAGACACGAAAGCGUGGGGAUCAAAGCAGGAUUAGAUACCCUGGUAGUCCACGCCGUAAACGAUGAGAACUUGACGUCGGUUGCUCUGCAAGUCGUGUCGUAGCUAACGCGAUAANUUCUCCGCCUGAGG